rnacentral:rRNA from 1 species
GACGAACGCUGGCGGCGUGCUUAACACAUGCAAGUCGAACGGAAAGGCCCUGCUUGCAGGGUGCUCGAGUGGCGAACGGGUGAGUAACACGUGGGUGAUCUGCCCCUUACUUUGGGAUAAGCCUUGGAAACUGGGUCUAAUACUGGAUAGGACCAUGCUGUAGGUGGUGUGGUGGAAAGAUUAGUUUCGGUAAGGGAUGAGCUCGCGGCCUAUCAGCUUGUUGGUGGGGUAAUGGCCUACCAAGGCGUCGACGGGUAGCCGGCCUGAGAGGGUGGACGGCCACAUUGGGACUGAGAUACGGCCCAGACGCCUACGGGAGGCAGCAGUGGGGAAUAUUGCACAAUGGGCGCAAGCCGGAUGCAGCGACGCCGCGUGGGGGAUGACGGCCUUCGGGUUGUAAACUCCUUUCAGCCAUGACGAAGCCCUUGUGGUGACGGUAGUGGUAGAAGAAGCACCGGCUAACUACGUG